rnacentral:lncRNA from 1 species
CCAUGACACGCCAUCUGAUAUGGCCACAAAGCUUCAUUUAACAAUGUGUGUCAUCUUCUUGGAUUUUCUUCAACUUUCCAUUUAAUGAGCUUAAUGAUCCCUUUAUUAGUAGCCUCGGCCUGUCCAUUAGCUUUAGCAUAAUGUUGGGUAUUUUAAACGCAAACAGAAAAAUCCGCAAGCGCACGGAUACCGAUGUAGCUUUCACCUGGGAGUAUUCCAGAGUAUCGAUUUUCCACAGAGAACGUGAGUGUACUAAUUAAGAUCUAAGAUCGCCCAAGGAUAACUAUAUAAUUGUUUUUGGUGGGAAGAGAGGAAGUUUCCUGAGAGUUCUCUAGUUGAUCUAAGAAUCAAGAAUUACUUCAAGAUUAUCUAUAUCGGGACAUCAGAGCACUAACCACAGAAAGAGAUGAGAAGGGGGCUAGGAAGGUCUGACUACGGUCCUACAAACACCGAUCCGAACGUGGUGGAAUACGUCGACCGUUAGGGCCGUCACUACCCUAGGGCUACCACAACAAUCCGUGGGAUUGGGUGCAAUUCCAGGUAAUCGCAAGACUAAACACCACGUCUAAUCUAUUAAUUACUACCCUAGCAUUAUAAAGACUAGAGCACUUGAUGCAAGCGGGAAUCCAAUAAAUAACUUGAAUGUAAAUAAAAGUAAUUAGAGAACUCAGGAAUUAUGAGUUGAAGAACCUGGAGAACGAUGAAGAACGAACCAGAUGCUGCAAAAGUAUAAUGUUGAGGAAGAUCCGACAGAUCCGGCUCCUCCUCCGCUCUCCUCUUCUCUCUCCCUAUUUUCUAGAUUACAACUAGAACUAACUAGAACUAGAACUAGAGGAACUAGAACUAGAACUAGAUGAACUAGAACUAGAUAUAGAUGAACUAGAGGUAGAACUAGAAGAACUAGAGGGAUCCUCUCUACUUGGAUGAAGAAUUGAAACACUAACUUUGAUUCUAUAGAAGAGGUAUGAUCUCCAGGGGCCAGGGGGGUCUGGUUUUAUAGUCCCUUCAAAUGAAUCUGGGCCGUCGGAUCAAACCGACAUUGAUCCUGUGGUUUUCCUUGAAGUAUUAGGUCGGUGGAGCAUGAUCCCCGAGCUUCUCCCUGAUUGGUCCAGGGGGGAGGGCGGGCGCCCUCAGGACUAGGGCGGGCGCCCUGUCCCUGAGGCCUCUCGGCUUCCGCUUUGUUCCCGUGGCUUCUAGAGUCUUCUAGAUGAUAGAAAAUUGCGCGGCACGUUAAUAUCUCUAUGUAAACCCGACGUGUGGGCCUUUCUUCCUUAUUUCCUGAUAACCCCCUGCAGAAAUAGACAAACACCAAAACUCGUGGAAUUCUGUCAGAUAAAACCCUAAGUCUAGGUGUUGGUUGCAUUUGGAUCCUUUUCUAUGAUUAGUUGAUGGUUAAAUGUGAGCAUUAAGGACCGUCAACAAGCUCCCCCAAGCUUAACCUUUGCUCGUCCCUGAGCAAAGAUGAACUCAAGAGUUUCUGCAGUGGUUUCAUAACUUAAAGAUACACAUGCGUUUAAACAAGAUCUCAUCUCGGGUUAGAGUAAACUGUUAAGACUUAAAACUUACUCAUUUACCUUUCACCAUGGGACUUGUAACCAUCACUUCUGUCUUGAGUAGUUAAAAGAUAGAACGGUCUAGUCAAGCGCCAUGUCUCUUUUUCUUGAUCAACUAUAGCUCUAGAGUUUUUGCAGAUUUUCAAAUAAAACUCAGAGAUUCCUUGUAUGACUCUCUCUAGUCUCUCUUUUGUGGUAUUUCUGGAUCCUUACCAAGGCAGUAAUGGUGUAUGCCUUCUCUCAAAGUAUGUGGUAUUUUUGGUAUGAGGCAUAGUGGCAUUGCCUUCUCUCUCACCCUACUCUAAUAAGGUUUUGAUAUCUGGAGCUCAUAGGUGGGAGACAGCUAAUACAUACUUACAAGACAUUUAUUGCAUAGUCAAACCAUGGAUCCAGAAGAACAAGUCAAUAAGUCAAAUCAAGAUGUGCAUGUGUGGCGAAUGAAUGGUGUAUGGUAAUGAUGGUGAUAACAAUGGUGAAAGUCUAAUUCUACUUGUGCUCUUUUGAGAGGAUACAUACCUUUCUUGCUCUUUUGAAACUUUUUGAGGAGAAUGAGAUGCUCUAUAUUUUCUUUUCCUCUCACGUGGGUAUCUUGUACCCCUAAUUCUACUGUCGGACACUUGUCCAUUUUUACCUCUCGUCUCACUUUUUUUUCUUUUUUCUCUUUCGAGGUUCCGGGCACUUGCCCCUUUUUAUUUCCUCGUAUUUAUUUUAUAUUUUUUUUCUCUUCUCUUUUUUUUAGAGCACUCAUCUCUUAAAAUAAUGUAGCAAGUGGUAGUAACCAAGAUAACUCGAGCAUUUAUUUCAUAGGGGAAAAACAGAAAUAUUUUUGGCUAUUCUCUCCCGGAUUAGGAGUAGAAUAUUUUUGGGUGGUUCUGGAGAUGGAAAUGGAUGGAUAUAUGUGGAUGCGUACUUCCGAAGUAGAAGUAGCAUGUAUGAGUGAACGUGCAAGUGAAUCUUGAUUUAACCACAUGACAAGCUCCUAAGGGUCUACACAGCUUGACCAUACUCAAUGCUCAUAAGCAGUAAAGUAAAUGUGUGGUUCAUAGUCUAAUAAGCAUGUAUAUAUGGCUGUGGUAGGAAAUUAAACUCUCAUCAUACAGGAACUCAUCUUGUGUUAUUUUAAUGAUUUUCAAAGAUAAAAUUCUCCAGAAUUCUAGCAUCUCUAGGAACAGAUAAACAGCAGCUCAACCUUUCCAUAUCAUAUCCGUUAACGACUUAGACUUCAGAUCAAGUACUCUCCCCACAAGUUCAGGUUUAGAGCAAAUCUUAAUUAAUAACAGUCAUGCCUAAACUUAAGAGAGAUUUCAAUUUUUAGAACUAAACAUGGCAGAGCAACUAUUCAUCAUUUCUAUGUGAGAGCUUAUCAUGAGGGUUCAUAGCAAACUUUAUUUAUUUAAUUAUUUAGCAAACUAAGCAAAGAUAUAUAUAUAAGCACAAAAUCUUUAUUUGAGUUUUUAUGAUUAUGCAUCUUUUUAUUAUUUGAGUAAAAUAUAAACGUGAGUAGAAACACUUAGCUCGAUAAAUGGGGGUGCUCUCCCCCAAGCUGGAUUUUGACGUAAUUUCCUCUAAUGUAGCUAGCAGGUGACGGAGGUAUAUUUGAAUGUCGGCAGUACCCUGACAGCGAUUAGGAUGUCCUUCGUCUGCUAGUCUGCUAGUCUUCUUUGAUCCUUGAAUUCUGUGGAGCUCAAAUAGACAACAAAGCUUUGUGGAACUAGUUAAGUGUUAGCAUAAAUAUCUAGCCUUUAUCAUGUUGAGCUUCCUCUAAUAAAUAUUACUCUCUUUAGUAGGAUCAUAAAUUUAUUUUUAUAUUUUUAUAGGACAAGAAUAUAUUUAUUUCAUUUUUACGCCACCACAGUGAAUGUACUUAUGGGUUUUAUGUCAUGAGCAUACUCACAUGGGGCUAACUAUUUUUAAUAUUUUUACUUUCUUUUCAAGAUGAUAUGAACCUGAUUAACUAAGCAAACUAUUUUAAGUAAUUGAAAGGAAAAAGAUAACUACCAAGUUUACCUCUUGGCAAGGCGUUCGGUGUUUUUUUUAAGUCCUCCGAACGGGACUCUCUGUUUUCUCAGUCGUCCUGGGAUUCACUAGAUGGCGUAGUUGGUGGUUCCGGCGACGCCUGCUCUUCAUGUAUAACUAUCUUCUCUCUACACACCUGACUCGGUGCUACGGUCUCCUCAGGAUAGUUCUGUUCAAGUUGUAUGUCUUCAGACCUUACUACAUCUCCUUCGUAGUCUGCCCAUCCGUCCUUGAUAAUUUGCCUCCUCUGGUUGCGGUUGUGUCGUCUUCUUCUUGUCCUGACCUGCUUAGAGUCUUCAACUAUAUAGUUAGGGUCAGUAAAAUAGUGGCGUACCGUCUCAUAGGGCUAAUGCAUGUGGACUUCUCCGGUUCUAAUGUAGAUGAUUGCUUUAACGGUGCUGAGGAACGGUCUUUCAAGCAUGAUGGGUGGAUUGUAUUCGUCUUCUCCCAUGACAAUAACCUUAAAAUCAUCUGGAGCUGAAUGUAUGUCGGUUUUAGGGGCAUGGUUCCGUGCAGGAUCUGAUAAGUGACUGGCGGCCAUUAUGUUGACACCUGACCCGGUGUCGCAAAGCAUCUUCUCGAAGUUGUAUCCAUCAAUGGAGCACUGGAUGCUUGGCAUACUUGGGUCAUCCUUUUUGGUUAGGAACGGUGACUUAAGUCGACGAUCUUGACCUCCUUGAACUGCAGUGACCAUCUUUGCUGACUUGGUCCACAUUUGCUUGUUCCUGUUCCUCCUGUUGGUCCUCUUCCUUGGUUCAUGUCGGGAUUACUCUGAGAUUUGUGUAGUCUUAUUCUUGAAGGAAAAUGUCUCCUUCCUCCCUUUGAUGUAGAAACUGAUCUUGGCAGCACUAGCAUGGAUGACAGCUCCUGAUGUGUUCAGGAAUGGCCUCCCUAGGAUGGGUGCCCUCUCAUCAGUACCAGUCUCUAUCACCACGAAGUCUUCUGGGGCGUAUAAGGUACCAACUCGGACGCAGAGGUUCUUCAAAAUUCCCUUUGGGAAACUUAGCGUACGAUCUCCAAGCAUGCCGAUGGAGAUCGGGAUGAUGGUGCGUCCUGGAUCGUCUCUCUUGACCGGCAGAAGGUCAGUAAUUACUUCCACAACGGGGUUACUCUAGUAGUUACGUCCUCAAGCAUCUCAGAGCAAUGAUUGCCUGAGUGUCCAGUCUCUCUCGUGUGUUUGUGCUCAUAGAUCUAGGUUCUUCACUUGGUGGAGUCCGGGAGUUGUAAAACUCCUUCAUAUUUUGCUCGAAGUGUACCUGCUCAUAGAGACAAGGCAGAGAUCAAGUGCAUGGGCCCUGUUGGUGGAAAACACCAACAGAACCAAAAGUGUAUUUGUUCUCUCUAACCUUAAGCAUAGUGAGCAAGACAAAGUUGAUGGAUAAUAAGAUCAUGAGUAUAGCAUUUAAAACAUUUGUCAGAUCAUAUCACUCAACCUUAUGAAAAGAUAAUCUAUCUAAGUAAAUGUUUUUUUCUUUAUAUGACUAUCAUUUUCCAAAGAUUGAGUAUGCAACAUUUUAGCUCAUAUGAUUAAGAGUGUGGGAUCACAAAGGUGGAAGGACUAAACAUGUUGAAUCGAUUGGGUUAGUUAAUCUAGAGUUGUAAAUCAUACAUGUUUGUCUCUUUUAUUCAUGUGAACGCUAAAACCAAGGAGAAGCUUAGAGAAGUGAUAGUCAAGUACCUUAAGAUGUUACGUUACUUGAAGAGUGAUGGUACAGUAUCACCUUGUGGAAGCCUUCCUUUCUUAGCGGUUGUGCAUCGUGUUUGUGGCACCCUCCAUGGAUCAUCUCUUGUGAGCUAUGCCUUCCUUGUGUAAAUUGUUAACCUUCAUGCGUCUCUCUCUUUGUCUCCAAUGUGAGUUUAUCUCAGGACUUCCCAGGUCGAUAUUGAAAGUUUUCCUGCAGGGGUUAGUCCAACAAAAUAUCCAAUAUCUACUAUAGCAUACUAUCGGCUCAAAGAUCAACCUAGACACCAUGUCUAAUUUGAUUUAGGAGGGCAUUUUAACCUAAGCAUCAUGCUUAAUUUAAAGUCCCUUGGAAAUAAGAUCAUCAUUCCUAAACUAAGCACCAUGCUUAAUUAAGAGAUAAAUGAAACUACUCCAAACCUAGACAUAUACUAAAGCAAAUAAAGGUGGCAUGAGAGCAUUUAUAGAGAUCUACUCAAGUGGAGAUGAAGUAGUGUGAUUAGUAUUUAACAAAUUGAGCAUGUCUUAAAGGUAGGGACAACCAACAUAGCAACAUGACAAAGGAUGUUUUUAUGUAAAGUACUCCCCCAAGCUUGAAUUUUGCAAAAUUCAAGUUUGGAUGAAUUUAAUUCAAUGUUGUAUGAUGAUUGGUUGGACAUACCUUGUGCUUGUCAUUCAUCCGAUCUUCUUGCUCCAAUCCUGGAAAGGUUAGUAACAAGAAUACCCGAAGGAAUUUUUUUUACAAUUAUCCUUAUAUGCUCAAUACACAAGGUAAUGUUGCAAAUAAUUAAAAGCUCAUGUUACGAUCUGAUCAGUGCUUGUUUUAGGACACUAAGCUUGUCCUUGGGAAACCAUCAAUUUAUGUCAGUGAAGUGGUUUCCCCUCCAACGCUGACUUAUAUCAACGAGAUCUGCAAAAUUUAUUAUAGACAUAUGCAUCGACAACCGCCCUUUUAAAGUUUUUAUAAAUAGAAAGGAAGAGGGGGUUGGAGAUCUCGAAUGUGGUGAUGUUGGAAAAACCAAUGGAUUGUGAAGAUGUUGCAUAUAAGCAUGGAGUAAAUGAAGUGGCUAUGAAAUAAAUUCCAUGCUCAUUAAUGCUUAGAGUGAAAUCCAUAUGGUGUGGUGAAAAUGAUAAGGUGAGUGUGGUAAAAAAGGAAAAGAAAAAGGAUACACGGACGACUUGGUUCGAAACUAGCACAGCUAUCGUUCCCCGGCAACGGCGCCAGAGAGCUUGUUGGGUAUUUUAAACGCAAACAGAAAAAUCCGCAAGCGCACGGAUACCGAUGUAGCUUUCACCCGGGAUUAUUCCAGAGUAUCGAUUUUCCACAGAGAACGUGAGUGUACUAAUUAAGAUCUAAGAUCACCCAAGGAUAACUAUAUAAUUGUUUUUGGUGGGAAGAGAGGAAGUUUCCUGAGAGUUCUCUAGUUGAUCUAAGAAUCAAGAAUUACUUCAAGAUUAUCUAUAUCGGGACAUCAGAGCACUAACCACAGAAAGAGAUGAGAAGGGGGCUAGGAAGGUCUGACUACGGUCCUACAAACACCGAUCCGAACGUGGUGGAAUACGUCGACCGUUAGGGCUGUCACUACCCUAGGGCUACCACAACAAUCCGUGGGAUUGGGUGCAAUUCCAGGUAAUCGCAAGACUAAACACCACGUCUAAUCUAUUAAUUACUACCCUAGCGUUAUAAAGACUAGAGCACUUGAUGCAAGCGGGAAUCCAAUAAAUAACUUGAAUGUAAAUAAAAAGUAAUUAGAGAACUCAGGAAUUAUGAGUUGAAGAACCUGGAGAACGAUGAAGAACGAACCAGAUGCUGCAAAAGUAUAAUGUUGAGGAAGAUCCGACAGAUCCGGCUCCUCCUCCGCUCUCCUCUUCUCUCUCCCUAUUUUCUAGAUUACAACUAGAACUAACUAGAACUAGAACUAGAGGAACUAGAACUAGAACUAGAUGAACUAGAACUAGAUAUAGAUGAACUAGAGGUAGAACUAGAAGAACUAGAGGGAUCCUCUCUACUUGGAUGAAGAAUUGAAACCCUAACUUUGAUUCUAUAGAAGAGGUAUGAUCUCCAGGGGCCAGGGGGGUCUGGUUUUAUAGUCCCUUCAAAUGAAUCUGGGCCGUCGGAUCAAACCGACAUUGAUCGUGUGAUUUUCCUUGAAGUAUUAGGUCGGUGGAGCAUGAUCCCCGAGCUUCUCCGUGAUUGGUCCAGGGGGGAGGGCGGGCGCCCUCAGGACUAGGGCGGGCGCCCUGUCCCUGAGGCCUCUCGGCUUCCGCUUUGUUCCCGUGGCUUCUGGAGUCUUCUAGAUGAUAGAAAAUUGCGCGGCACGUUAAUGUCUCUAUGUAAACCCGACGUGUGGGCCUUUCUUCCUUAUUUCCUGAUAACCCCCUGCAGAAAUAGACAAACACCAAAACUCGUGGAAUUCUGUCAGAUAAAACCCUAAGUCUAGGUGUUGGUUGCAUUUGGAUCCUUUUCUAUGAUUAGUUGAUGGUUAAAUGUGAGCAUUAAGGACCGUCAACACAUAAUAAGGAGAAGAAUUUAAUACUUUAAUUCCCAUACCGAUCGCAAAUUCAUCAAAUUCCCCCGAUGUGAGCAUAGUACCCUGAUCAGUAGUAAUUGUCUGAGGAAUACUAAAUCGGUAAACAAUAUGCUCAUUUACAAAAUCAAUGAUAUUGGCUGAUGUUACUUUCUUCAAAGGAAUAGCUUCAACCCAUUUGGUGAAAUAAUCAGUGGCAACUAAGAUGAAUUUAUGCCCUUUGCUUGAUGGUGGAUAAAUAUGGCCAAUGAGAUCAAUAGCCCAUCCCCGGAACGACCAAGGUUUAAUUAUAGGAUUCAUGGCCGAUGCGGGUGCUCUUUGAAUAUUACCAAACUUCUAACAUCCUUGACACCCUUUAAAGUAUUUGAAGCAAUUCAAGUAAUAGUCGGCCAAUAAUAUCCAUUCCUCCUAAUCAUCCAUUUCAUCUUAAAAGCCGAUUGAUGUGCUCCACACACUCCAUCAUGGGUCUCACCCAUCAAGCUCCUAGCGUCAUCAUUACCCAAACGCUUGAGCAAAACUCCAUCUAUGGUUCGAUAAUAUAACUCUUCUUCAAGGAGUACAUACUUGGCAGCUUAAAACCUAACACGCCUCUCAACCUUCUUGGAUGGAUCUUUUAAAUAAUCAAUAAUUUCCUUUCUCCAAUCAUCGGCACUGAUUGCCGACAAUACACCCACGAGACGGGACCUGAUUGGUCUCUGUAGUAGGGCGGGCACCCAAGGGGUGAGGGCGAGCGCCCUGUCCCCGAGCCCGAUCGGCUUCCCGUUUGUUCCUGUGGCUUGUGGAGUCUUCUAGAUGAUAGAAAAUUACGCGGCACGUUAAUAUCUCUAUGUAAACCCGAUGUGUCCCCUGCAGAAAUAGACAAACACUAAAACUCGUGGAAUUCAGUCAGAUAAAACCCUAAGUCUGGGUGUUGGUUGCAUUUGGAUCCUUUUCUUUAAUUAUUUGAUGAUUAAAUUUGGUACUUAAGGACCGUCAACAACUUCCCCAAGCUUACCUCUUGCUCGUCCCUGAGCAAGGAUGGACUCAAGAGUUUCUGCAAUGGUUUCAUGCCUUAAAGGUACACAUGCGUUCAAACAAGAUCUCAUCUCUAGGUUAGGGUAAACUAUUAAGACUUAAAACUUACUCAUUUUACCUUUCACCAUGGGGCUUGUAACUGUCACUUGUAUCUUGAGCAGUUAAAAGAUAGAACAGUCUAGUCAAGCACCAUGUCUCUUAUUCUUGAUCAGCUAUAGCUUUGGAGUUUUUGCAGAUUUUCAAAAUAAAACUCAGAGAUUCCUUGUAUGACUCUCUCAAUUCUCUCUUUUGUGGUAUUUCUGGAUCCUUACCAAGGCAGUGAUGGUAUAUGCCUUCUCUCAAAGUAUGUAGUAUUUUUGGUAUGAGUCAUAGUGAUAUUGCCUUCUCUCUCAUCCUACUCUAAUAAGGUUUUGAUAUCUGGAGCUCAUAGGUGGGAGACAGCUAAUACAUACUUACAAGACAUUUAUUGCAUAGUCAAACCAUGGAUCUAGAGAAACAAGUCAAUAAGUCAAAUCAAGAUGUGCAUGUGUAGCGAAUGAAUGGUGUAUAGUGAUGAUGGUGAUAAUGGUGAAAACUAUGGUGAAAGUCUAAUUCGACUUUUGCUCUUUUGAGGGGAUACAUACCUUUCUUGCACUUUGAACCUUUUUGAGGGGAAUGAGAUGCUCUAUAUUUUUUUUUCUUUUCUCUCAGGUGGGUAUCUUGUACCCCUAAUUCUACUGUCGGACACUUGUCCAUUUUUACCUCUCGUCUCACUUUUUCUUUUCUUCGAGGUUUCGGGCACUUGCCCCUUUUUAUUUCCUCGUAUUCAUUUUUUUUCAGAGCACUCACCCUCCUGGAAUAAUGUAGCAAGUGGUAGUAACUAAAAUAUCUCGAGCAUUUAUUUCACGGGGAAUAACAUGGAUAGGAUAAUGUUUUUGGCUAUUCUCUCCUAGAUAGGAGUAGAAUAAUUUUGGGUAAAUCUGGAGAUGGAAAUGAGUGGAUGUAUGUGGAUGCGUACUUCCGGAGUAGAAGCAGCAUGUAUGAGUGAACGUGCAAGUGGAUCUUGAUUUUAACCACAUGACAAGCUCCUAAGGGUCUACACAGCUUGACCACACUCAAUGCUCAUAAGUAGUAUAAAGUACAUGUAUGGUUCAUAGUCUAAUAAGCAUGUAUAUAUGGCUGUGGUAGGAUUUUAAACUCUCAUCAUACAGGAACUCAUCAUGCAACAUUUUAAAGAUUUUUAAAGACAAAAUUCUCCAGAAUUCUAUCAUCUCUAGGAACAGAUAAACAACAGCUCAACCUUCCCAUAUCAUAUCCGUUAACAACUUAAACUUUAGAUCAAGUACUCUUCCCAUAAGUUUAGGUUUAGAGCAAAUCUUAAUUCAUAACAGUCAUGCCUAAACUUGAGAGAGAUUUCAAUUUUGAGAACUAGGCAGAGCAACUAUUCAUCAUUUCCAUGUGAGAGCUUAUCAUAAGGGUUCAUAGCAAACUUUAUUUAUUUAUUUAGCAAACUAAGCAAAGAUAUAUAAGCAUAAAAUCUUUAUUUGGGUUUUUUAUGACUAUGCAUCUUUUUAUUAUUUGAGUAAAGUAUAAAUGCGAGUAGAAACACUUAGCUGGAUAAAUGGGGGUGCUCUCCCCCAAGCUGGAUUUUGACAUAAUUUCUUCUGAUGUAGCUAGCAGGUGGCGGAGGUGUAUUUGAAUGUCGGCAGCACCCUGACAGCGAUUAGGACGUCCUCUGUCUGCUAGUCUUCUUUGAUCUUUGAAUUCUGUGGAGCUCAAAUAGACAACAAAGCUUUGUGGAACUGGUUAAGUGUUAGCAUAAAAUCUCUUAGCCAUUAUCAUGUUGAGCUUCCUCUAAUAAAUAUUACUCUCUUUGGUAGGAUCAUAAAUUUAUGUUUAUAUUUUCAUUUUUAUAGGACAAGAAUAUAUUUAUUUUUACGCCACCACAGUGAAUGUACUUAUAGGUUUUAUACCAUGAGCAUACUCACAUGGGGCUUACUGUUUUUAACAUUUUUAAUUUCUUUUCAAGAUAGCACGAUUAACUAACAAGCUAUUUAAGGAAAGUAAAUAAUUUAAGGAAAAGAGGAAUGCAUAAAGGAUAAAUAUGGAUAACUACUGAUUUUACCUUUCGGCGAGGGUUCAAUGUUUUAAGUCUUCUGAACAAGACUUCUCACCGUGUUCAUUCUUCAGGUGCGUCAUUUGAUUUAGGUGUGGACCUUGACGUCUGCAGCUCUUGAUACGGUGUCACCCAUGUUCUUCGUUUGCCCAGCAGUUCGAAAUGUGGCGUUAGCAGUAUCUUGCUCAGUGUGUUUGUGCUUGUAGAUCCAGGUCCUUCACUUGGUAGACUCUAGGAGUUGAAAAAUCCUCCAUGUUUCUCAAAAUGUGUC